rnacentral:sRNA from 26 species
GCCUUGUAUCUGCAUGAUUUGAGACAGUCUUACGCUUUUGAGGACGUAGCAAGGCUU